rnacentral:lncRNA from 1 species
CCAGCUUAUGUUUUCAAGUUUUUCAAGCACCAACCAAGCCCCUCAAGGUCUUCAACACCUAGAUCUCGAGCCCAUGGAGAGCUAUGCACCGCCUCCACCCUAGGAACACUCAUGUCCGAACCCUAGGACCUAAACUGGUCCUAGCCUCUCGGAGUCAAUACCUUGGCUCUUCUUAUGGCCUCCCAAGGCUUGAGAGCACCACACCAAAUCCUAUAAUCUCCAUCUUGG